GCGGAUGUGGCGGAAUUGGUAUACGCGCACGCUUGAGGUGCGUGUGGCGAAAGCCUUGCGAGUUCGAGUCUCACCAUCCGCA
rnacentral:tRNA from 1 species